rnacentral:rRNA from 1 species
AGUGAACGCUGGCGGUAGGCCUAACACAUGCAAGUCGAACGGCAGCACAGUAAGAGCUUGCUCUUACGGGUGGCGAGUGGCGGACGGGUGAGGAAUACAUCGGAAUCUACUUUUUCGUGGGGGAUAACGUAGGGAAACUUACGCUAAUACCGCAUACGACCUACGGGUGAAAGCAGGGGAUCUUCGGACCUUGCGCGAUUGAAUGAGCCGAUGUCGAAUUAGCUAGUUGGCGGGUAAAGGCCCACCAAGGCGACGAUCCGUAGCUGGUCUGAGAGGAUGAUCAGCCACACUGGAACUGAGACACGGUCCAGACUCCUACGGGAGGCAGCAGUGGGGAAUAUUGGACAAUGGGCGCAAGCCUGAUCCAGCCAUACCGCGUGGGUGAAGAAGGCCUUCGGGUUGUAAAGCCCUUUUGUUGGGAAAGAAAAGCAGAAGGUUAAUACCCCGCUGUUCUGACGGUACCCAAAGAAUAAGCACCGGCUAACUUCGUG